CCCUUAGAUGUUCUGGGCUGCACGCGUGUUACAAUCGGGAGUACAACAAGAUUGCAAAUCCUAGUGGAUGAGUGGUUCUUCGAAAUUUUCUGAAGACUGGGAUAGUUGAUUGAAAUUAUUCAACUCAAACGAGGAAUUCCUUGUAAUUGUAAUUCAUUGUAUUGUAAUGAAUACGUCCCUGCCCUUUGUACACACCGCCCGUCGCUCCUACCGAUUGAACGAUCCGGUGAAUUAUUUGGAGUAGCUCUGGAAGUUGCAGAACUUCCUAUGUCACGAAAUUUUGUAAACCUUAUCGUUUAGAGGAAGGAAAAGUCGUAACA
rnacentral:rRNA from 1 species